rnacentral:lncRNA from 1 species
GCCCGUUUCUCGAGCAAGUCCCAGUAGCGCGGAGAGAACGCACCCCCAUAACAAGUUUCUUACUCAUCUUUUUCGUUCAAUAACUCUCCAUCCAAGAUGGCCACCGCGGUCGUCCCUCAUUGGCUGGGGGAAGGGGUGGUCGCAGAGCUCUGUACGGAGUUUGGGUGACCCGAGAGAGAGAAAGAGAAAGAGAUGGUAAGAGAGGGAAAAGAGAGCAGUACAAGAGAGAGAGAAAGAGGGGUUGGAAGCACUAACGCCAUCUAUCUUGCGUUGCCUUGGCUCGGCGUAACAUAAGGUAAGAUAAAUUGCGGGAUCUCCCGGGUUCUUGAACCUUUCUGGCAAAUUGCAUAAGAAUAUCCACCCUCUCCGUCCUUCUCUCCUUUCUCACAACCACCUUUCCUACGUUCCUCCUCUCUCCUCCAACCCAGGCCCCAUGGCUCCAAUGGAAUUGGAAUUAAGUCGAAUAAAUCACCUUCGUGACUCUGCGCGCUACGCGGAACUCCGUGCUCUCCGCCGCGUUUCAAAGACCAGAAAUUUCUUUUCUUGAGAUAGAAUCGAAUGCUUCUUUUUACCAACGGAUCACUUGAUUAAACGUUUGCGAACGCGGAGGACUUCGAUUUCGUAAUCGAAUCGAAAAUUGUCUGAGUACCGUUGCGUCGAUCGUAAGAGUUUUGAAAAGAGAAUCAAGUUUAUCAUUGCAAAUAUAUUAAAAGUUACCCUUUACACAUGAAUGGCGUUGAGUAAAUAAAUGGACGAUAAACCGAUCGUAGCGUCAACUACUGGUCACUUGGAAAGUCAUAAAGCAGUGUCGGCAUCUAGCGGUACCCACGAGAACAAUGAAACAAGAAGCAGAAGACAAAGUGCUGUGUGUGCGCGCGCGCAUCAUGGACCAUUGAUCGGAAGAAGGAAAAAUGAUAUAGGUAGUAUUUAGCUAUGACGGUACAAAAUAGUCCGAGAAUAAAAUGAGUUCGACGAGCCCUGUUCGUUCGGCUUCGACAGUCUCGAUACUAUUAUUGAGGGAAGCAAGGAAAUGCGUGCGAAUUAAUUGGAAAGAUAGAUGCGUCAGAUAGCGAUGUUAUUAGCGCGUCAAUUUGUAAAGAGUAUAAUAAACGCGAUACGAUAA